AGGCUGAAAUUCGCCUGUAUGAAGCCGGAAUUGCUAGUAAUGGCAGGUCAGCAUACUGCCGUGAAUACGUUCCCGGGCCUUGUACACACCGCCCGUCGCACCAUGAGAGUUGGGGAUACCCAAAGCCCGUGAGCCAACUUAUAAGAGGCAGCGGUCUAAGGUAGAAUCAAUGAUUGGGGUGAAGUCGUAACAAGGUAAC
rnacentral:rRNA from 1 species